rnacentral:rRNA from 1 species
ACGAACGCUGGCGGCGUGCUUAACACAUGCCAGUCGAACGGAAAGGCCCUGCUUUUGUGGGGUGCUCGAGUGGCGAACGGGUGAGUAACACGUGAGUAACCUGCCCUUGACUUUGGGAUAACUUCAGGAAACUGGGGCUAAUACCGGAUAGGAGCUCCUGCUGCAUGGUGGGGGUUGGAAAGUUUCGGCGGUUGGGGAUGGACUCGCGGCUUAUCAGCUUGUUGGUGGGGUAGUGGCUUACCAAGGCUUGGAGGGGUAGCCGGCCUGGGAGGGGGGCCGGCAACAUGGGGAAUAAGAUCACGCCCGGCUGCAUCGGGGGGGAAGGGGGGGGGAGUGUGGCACAGGGGGAGGAACCCUGAUGGGGCGACGCCGGGUGGGGGGGGGUGGCCUCCGGUUGAUAGCCCGCUUUCGCCUGGGACGGAAGGGGGGUGACGGUAGUGGGAAAAGAAGCACCGGCUAACUACGUG